rnacentral:lncRNA from 1 species
AAACUGCUUUCUUCAUGGCCUUUACAGUUAUUUGCUACCUUUUAACAAUUAAAAAAACAUAUAACGAAACAUUUGUCGAUAUCCCAAUAGGUAUUUCUGUUAUCAUUUCUUUUUUUCUUGGUACAUUUCUUUCAUUAUAUUACCUCUACAUGAAUUGGUCAUUGCAUUUGAGUUUAGUGGCGAGUGCGUUUCUUGGAAACUUACUUUACGAUCUAAGAAAAGAUGAGUCUAAAAUGGACCCCGGAUUUUUUUUUUUAGUAACCUUAUAUUUUUCUACGUACAUUGCGGUCUUUUUAAAGAGAUCAGAUAUGUUUUAUUUAAUAUUUUAUUGAAAACAGUUAUUUAUUAAUAUCAGUAUGAAAAUCCAAAAUAAUAUCAAUCUGCGAAAUAACGAAAAUAUUGAGAAAUAGGAAGGGGUGGAUAGGACAAUUUGAACGUAAUCUAUGAAUUACUGCUUUAUUAUUUAGUCAGUGAUUUCGUCACCACAAAUUACUUAAAACCUUUUCUAAAUACUUCCAUAGAUAUAGAGAUUCGGUUUUGAAGGUUGUUUGUACUAGUAGAAAACUUAUUUCAAACGGAAAAGCACAUCCUCAUGUACUUGUUUGGCUUUAUUAAUAUUUUGAUAUGAGCGUCACUGAUGAGUCUUAUGUAGACGAAAAGUGCGUCUGGUUCCUUUGAUAACUAUUUGAAGGAGAUGUUGUUUACCGUUUUCGGAAAUUUAGACACGAUCCGGACAAACUUAUUGAUCCUUCAAAUUAACUUAUUCUAAAUGGUUAACAAUUCAAUACUGUAAUUAUAUCUUUGAAUAUUGAAUUUAUUUGUAUUAAUAUUGAUUGUGUUAGCAG